UACGGAGGGGUGCAGCGUUGCUCGGAAUUAUUGGGCGUAAAGGGCAGGUAGGUGUCGUCAUUUGAGUCAUAGGGUGAAAUCCUUGAGCUUAACUCAAGUAAGUGCCCUAGAAACGGUGAGACUGGAGUCUUGGAGAGGGUCGUGGAAGUUCCCGGUGUAGCGGUGAAAUGCGUAGAGAUCCGGAAGAACACCGGUGGCGAAAGGCGGUCUGCUGGGGUGAGGCUGACGCCUGAGGCGCGACAGCGUGGG
rnacentral:rRNA from 1 species